GUAUCUUAAUCCUUUGUUUUUUUCUUUAAGCAUUUUUUCCUCUCUCUCUCUCUCUCUCUUCUUUCAUAUCUUCUUCUUCACUCUCUCCAUAUCAACCUGCAGAUUGGGGUGAGUUAAGUUUAUUCCCAGUCUCGCCAUCCUUGGCAAAGACAAAGAACGACACAGCAGAAACCGCAUAAGCAUCAGAAAUCUCAGGCUGCUCGCCUGCUCCAGCCUCAACCCUCAAGAAAUGGGCAUGAGGGAAAUCAGUCGACAUAUGUGAGAAUACCUCGUCCAUGUGCUUAGAGGCUAGGCCUCACGCCAUGAAGCCCAGAACUGAAACACAACCGGAGCACCACUCUGAAUCAACCCAUCAAGCUCCUGCUUCGAUUUCACGUCCUUCACAGACCCACCACCCAUUGAUGAAUAGGGAGCUCUGAAUUCAAAAAUCCAAAAGCAAAAACGCAGAGUUUCUGGGUUUGGCGUUCUUUUAUCGAAAGAUUUGUGAAGAUAUGAACAGAUUCAGUUCUUACGAGCAGAAUGCCAUGACAGGCUUUGAGGGGAUGAGGAUGGUGGAUUUAGUUGUGUGCCCUGGCUCAAGAAUUUGGAUGUCGAUUCUCGUCUCUCGAAUUACAAGGAAGCUUUCUUUGAUCAGUCCACCGACUGUUUAUGUUCUAAGGCAUCAAUGGGCCUAUUCGUGUGAGAAGGCCAAGCAGAAGUUGGAUUAUAGUCCUAGAAGCUUGAAAGAAGGAUUGGAAGAGGUGUUGCCCUGGCUCUAUUUUGUAAAUCAGUGUACUUGUAUCAAUUUGGUUAUGCAAUUUCCUUCAGUUCAUCAUAUACGAACAAAAAUGAUCAAUCUAGCUUUGCUCUAAAAAAAAAAAAAAAGAA